rnacentral:lncRNA from 1 species
AUUCAGUCCUGCCGCUGCUUUGUGCUGGGGAGAGACAGAAAGCGAAAACAAGAGAAAGAAAGGGAGAGACAUGGACAUACCCACACUCAGGAGCCAAAGAAUGGGACAUCUGAACCGAAUAAUUCCUCUCCUCUUCAACACUGGAAGAAGCCAAGAGACCUUGUUCGUCCCAAGAGAGAGUCAGAAUCUUGGGGUUCCCUGGCUCUUAAGGAUCACUGAGGACAAGAUGGGAAAACAUAGCACUGAUCUUCUGGAGAAAAGGGAUAGCUUACUUUGGCAACCAGGGACCUACUCUGCUGCCAUUCUUCCCACAGCAUGCUGUUUGCUCAGCAAGAGCAGGCGAUGAGGAAGAUAGCUAUUCAAAAUGAAAGAUGGGGGGAGUGGGCAUGGAUGGGCAACAGGGAGCAAACAGACAAGAAGGAGAUUUAAAGGAAGGGUAUCCAUGAGAGAAAGGGAGAAGUGAGGGAAAGCAAAGAAGAAAUAAAUGAUGGAGGAGAAGGAAGAGGAGGAAGUUAGGGGCACAGCGAUGCUUUGUUUGCCAAGAUGGAUAAAGAGGGAUGGAAUGUCUAUGCAGAGGACUCCACAUACUGAUCCCACACAGCCUAGGCCAGGCAGAGGGCAAUGGCAGCAUUGCAGGCAGAAUGCAGGAGCAGAUCUUUCUGAGGGGCAACCAAGCUGCCGGAGACAGGGAACCCAUCCCACAAGAUCUUCCUAAAAACUGGAUAUUUCUACCAAACCAGGAAUUUAUCAAAAGCAAUGGAGAAAAUCUUCCAAAUGAACAGAAAAGGAGGCUAGAAUGACAGGAAACUGCAAAAUCUGAUUCCAGGAGCUCCAGCGGGGAGAUGGUGAUCCUGGGACUGAAGAGUUUGCUGCGGAAGAUCAGCACAGAGAGAAUGGAGCGUCCAGAGUUCCAGCAUCCACCACCAAGUGCCAUCCAGCUCCAAGGUAUUUAGCAGAAGGGGUAUACUAGCCAGCAGUUAAGGUCAAAUUAAAUCUGGAAUGGGAAUUCAUUCCCUGCCUUGGUACUCUGGAGGCCCCUGUAGUAGGCUAGCCUGUGUAAGGCCUGCGGAAAUGCUAAUACCAUCCCAGCAAGCUAGAUUCCUCAACCAGCCAGCCAAGCCCACAUGCCCUGGCUGUCUUGCUGCUGAUGCUGUCUCAGCAUCAGGCCAACCAAGGCCAGCUUUUGACACAAAACCUGGCCACGUUGCUGCCUUCAAGGCUGCCAG